rnacentral:rRNA from 1 species
UGGGGAAUAUUGGACAAUGGGCGCAAGCCUGAUCCAGCCAUGCCGCGUGAGUGAUGAAGGCCCUAGGGUUGUAAAGCUCUUUCGGCGGGGACGAUAAUGACGGUACCCGCAGAAGAAGCCCCGGCUAACUUCGUGCCAGCAGCCGCGGUAAUACGAAGGGGGCUAGCGUUGCUCGGAAUCACUGGGCGUAAAGGGCGCGUAGGCGGAUCUUUAAGUCGGGGGUGAAAGCCUGAGGCUCAACCUCAGAAUUGCCUUCGAUACUGAAGAUCUUGAGACCGGAAGAGGUAAGUGGAACUGCGAGUGUAGAGGUGAAAUUCGUAGAUAUUCGCAAGAACACCAGUGGCGAAGGCGGCUUACUGGUCCGGUUCUGACGCUGAGGCGCGAAAGCGUGGGGAGCAAACAGGAUUAGAUACCCUGGUAGUCCACGCCGUAAACGAUGGAUGCUAGCCGUUGGCGAGCUUGCUCGUCAGUGGCGCAGCUAACGCUUUAAGCAUCCCGCCUGGGGAGCACGGUCGCAAGAUUAA